rnacentral:tRNA from 1 species
GCUCCGGUGGUGUAGUCCGGUCAAGCAUAACGGCCUUUCGAGCCGUUGAUCCCGGGUUCAAAUCCCGGCCGGAGCACCA